GUCCAUUUCAGUCCGGCCCAGGAGCUCACUCCUGUCCCCAAGAGGGGCUGCCAUCAGCCGAGAGCAUCUACAGGGCAGCCCUUUGUACGUACAGGGGGAGCCGGGAGACAUGGCCCAGUCACACAGAUCAACAGUGGGCUCCAGUCUAGUUCCUAGAUCAUUGGUCCCUCGGAAGGACCCCCUGGGCACAAACCAUGAGAUGAGCUAAUGUCCUGCCCCUCCCUUCUCCUCCCUCAAGAUGUGACUCCUGUCGAUGGACCAUUGUUUCUCUCACAAGGACACCCCAGGCACAGACAUCUUCCCUGGCCAAGGCAGAUUCUUCAUCGUCCGUGCAGAGCCAGGCUGCUACUUGCAGACAGAGCAUCCAAUAAGGAAAGGGGCCAGGAGGAAG